AACGUAGGGCGCAAGCGUUGUCCGGAAUUAUUGGGCGUAAAGAGCUCGUAGGCGGUCUGUUGCGUCCGCUGUGAAAUCUCGGGGCUUAACCCCGAGCCUGCAGUGGAUACGGGCAGACUAGAGGUAGGUAGGGGAGAAUGGAAUUCCCGGUGUAGCGGUGAAAUGCGCAGAUAUCGGGAGGAACACCGGUGGCGAAGGCGGUUCUCUGGGCCUUACCUGACGCUGAGGAGCGAAAGCGUGGGGAGCGAACAGG
rnacentral:rRNA from 1 species